AUUGAACGCUGGCGGCAGGCCUAACACAUGCAAGUCGAGCGGAGCGGCUGACGGUUGAGUAAUGCCUAGGAAUCUGCCUGGUAAUGGUGGAUAACGUCGGGACACGGGCGCUAAUACCGCAUACUAUCAGAUUAGCCGCGUGCGUAUGAGCUAGUUGGUGGGGUAAAGGCCUACCAAGGCGACGAUCCGUAACUGGUCUGAGAGGAUGAUCAGUAACACGGGAAAUGAGACACUGUCAAGAUUCCUACGGGAGGCAGAAGUGGGGAAUAUUGAACAAUGGGCGCAAGCCGUAGGCAGCAAUGCCGCGUGUGUGAAGAAGGCCUUCGGGUUGUAAAGUACUUUCAGCUGGGAGGCGUUACCAGCAGAAGAAGCACCGGCUAACUGCGUGCCAGCAGCCGCGGUAAUAC
rnacentral:rRNA from 1 species